AUAGGUAAGGUAGUGGCCAGAAUUUAAGAUAGACAGAAGAAGAAGUGUUUAGAAAAUGAAAGAUGAGAAGAUGGAUAGAUAGUAGUGGUUGAGUCGCUUUGAUACCACUUUAUACGCCCUAAAUUAGGAAAGGAUCACUCAAUCGGACUAAAGGGAUAUGAACUCGCCAAAAGGGAGAACUUAUGGAUUGAACGGUGAC
rnacentral:lncRNA from 1 species